GUCUCUCUCUUCUGCAACUCUCUCUUUCUCUCUUCUGCAACCUCCUCUUUCACCACCUCUAGACCACCAAAUGGCGAGCUGCGAGCAUCGAUAGACUCGUCUCUUCCUCCUUAUCACGCAUGUGGGAGUUGUUUACGACGAUUUGGCCGGAAAUGUGGAGAUCGAAGCCAACAUUUUUACUGUAGCAAAUUAGUCAACGCCGAUUUCCGGCCACCUCCAGUCAUAAACCCAGGUCCAUUAGAAGCGCCUUAAGCCGCUCUUCAUGCUCGCCAAGUCUCAUAACCUAGAUCGAAGCAUGGAGGAAGAAAGCAUAAUUGGAAAAUUUCACUGUACAUCGGAGUGCUUAAUUGUUCGGCUACUUCAAGGUGAUUGACGGUUUGAGUUGGUGGACGAUUGUGGAUCGUAUUUUGAGCUGAAUUGAAGACGCAGCGGGAUUAUCGAGCGGGUAAUCCUACAGGACAGGAGAACCAGGACGGUGACCGUGCGGUUAGAGCAAUUGUUAGAGUUUUACAGCAAUUGUAAGUUGUGAGGUGUGUUAUGCUCAUUUAGAGCUUUACAAUAUUGCUUGUGAGAGUGAAUUGUAAUAAUGAACUCGAGGUUUCGAGAUUUGGAGUUUGUGUACCUUGUGGUGAGAUUAUAUUGAGAAAAAAAUUCAGAACGUUUAUUUGAUUAAGUGGUUUAAUUCAUGUUUCGGAUUUGAAUUUAUUAUUCAAAAUUCGGGGCGUGACAGUUUGGUAUCAGAGCGUAAGGUGCA